rnacentral:lncRNA from 1 species
NUAAUAUUUUAUAAUAUUUAAAUAUAAUUUAUUAUAAAAUUCAUUAUAAUAUUUAAUAUUUAAAUAUAUAUAGUAGAAUUAAUAAUUUUAUAAUAAAAAUAAUAUAUUAUAAUAUAUAACAUAUUAUAUUUAUAAUUUAGUUUUAUUUUAAUUUAUAAUUUUAAUAAAGUUUGAAAUUAAACAUUGAAAAAGCACUAUUCCAUCAAAAUGGUAGAAUAGUAAAUUCCUUACUAUUCCGGAAUAACCAGGAAUAGCAAAGUUUGAUCGGGAUAAAAUAUUCUAACCAAAAAUUAUUUCGUUAUCCCCGCUUAUAUCGCCAACCAAACGGGGCCUUAGAGUUAUAUUCUAUAGUAUACCAUUAAAAAAAAUUGUUAUCCUCUGUGAAAUAAUUAUUUUGCCCAUUUAAAAAUAUAUUUUGCUAUCACUUACUUUUCAUUUUUUUUUCUACUUUUUUUCUUAUUUACCCUUAAAAAUAUUGGAAGUUUUUGUAUAUGCAAAACUUUUAGUAUUUUGGUAGAAAAGUACCAAAUAAAUCUUUAGAAAGAAAUA